AAGACCUUGCGCUUUUGGAGCGGCCGAKGUCUGAUUAGCUUGUUGGUGAGGUAAAAGCUUACCAAGGCUUCGAUCAGUAGCUGGUCUGAGAGGACGACCAGCCACACUGGGACUGAGACACGGCCCAGACUCCUACGGGAGGCAGCAGUGGGGAAUUUUGGACAAUGGGGGCAACCCUGAUCCAGCCAUGCCGCGUGAGUGAAGAAGGCCUUCGGGUUGUAAAGCUCUUUCAGCCGGAACGAAACGGUUACGGUUAAUACCCGUGAUUACUGACGGUACCGGAAGAAGAAGCACCGGCUAACUACGUGCCAGCAGCCGCGGUAAUACGUAGGGUGCGAGCGUUAAUCGGAAUUACUGGGCGUAAAGCGUGCGCAGGUGGUUUUGUAAGUCAGAUGUGAAAGCCCCGGGCUCAACCUGGGAACU
rnacentral:rRNA from 1 species